rnacentral:rRNA from 1 species
AACGAACGCUGGCGGCAGGCUUAACACAUGCAAGUCGAACGCCCCGCUCGGGUAUUGUCAGACGGGUGUGUAUCGCGUGUGAACAUACCCUUUUCUACUGAGUAUCUCUGGGCAACUGGAAUUCAUAUCGUAUACGCUCUCCGGGGGAAAGAUUUAUCGGGGAAGGAUUGGCCCGCGUUGGAUUAGCUAGUUGGUGGGGUAAAGGCCUACCAAGGCGACGAUCCAUAGCUGGUCUGAGAGGAUGAUCAGCCACAUUGGGACUGAGACACGGCCCAGACUCCUACGGGAGGCAGCAGUGGGGAAUAUUGGACAAUGGGCGCAAGCCUGAUCCAGCAAUGCCGCGUGAGUGAUGAAGGCCUUAGGGUUGUAAAGCUCUUUCACCGAUGAAGAUAAUGACGGUAGUCGGAGAAGAAGCCCCGGCUAACUUCGUG